GCUUGUCUCAAAGAUUAAGCCAUGCAUGUCUAAGAAUAAGCCCAUAGAACGGCGAAUCUGCGAAUGGCUCAUUACAUCAGUUAUUGUUUAUUUGAUGGUACACUAUGCCUUUUAGGCAGGGCUACUUGGAUAACCGUAGUAAUUCUAGAGCUAAUACAUGCUACACUAAUCCCUUGCUGGCUCGUCCAGUGGGGGUGCAUUUAUUAGAUUCAAACCAUGGUUCGCAGCCUGUACGCACAGCGCAAGUUGUGAAUAUGGUGAGUCAUGAUAACUAAGCGAAUCGGGGGAAAACCGUACCUGCUUCACUGUGGGGGCGGCCCGAUGCUUCAUUCAAAUUUCUGCCCUAUCAGCUUUCGACGGUAGUGUAGUGGACUACCGUGGCGUUAACGGGUAACGGAGAAUUAGGGUUCGAUUCCGGAGAGGGAGCCUGAGAAAUGGCUACCACAUCCAAGGAAGGCAGCAGG
rnacentral:rRNA from 1 species